rnacentral:rRNA from 1 species
AAUUGAAGAGUUUGAUCAUGGCUCAGAUUGAACGCUGGCGGCAGGCCUAACACAUGCAAGUCGAGCGGUAGCACAGAGAGCUUGCUCUCGGGUGACGAGCGGCGGACGGGUGAGUAAUGUCUGGGAAACUGCCUGAUGGAGGGGGAUAACUACUGGAAACGGUAGCUAAUACCGCAUAAUGUCGCAAGACCAAAGUGGGGGACCUUCGGGCCUCAUGCCAUCAGAUGUGCCCAGAUGGGAUUAGCUAGUAGGUGGGGUAACGGCUCACCUAGGCGACGAUCCCUAGCUGGUCUGAGAGGAUGACCAGCCACACUGGAACUGAGACACGGUCCAGACUCCUACGGGAGGCAGCAGUGGGGAAUAUUGCACAAUGGGCGCAAGCCUGAUGCAGCCAUGCCGCGUGUGUGAAGAAGGCCUUCGGGUUGUAAAGCACUUUCAGCGGGGAGGAAGGCGGUGAGGUUAAUAACCUCACCGAUUGACGUUACCCGCAGAAGAAGCACCGGCUAACUCCGUGCCAGCAGCCGCGGUAAUACGGAGGGUGCAAGCGUUAAUCGGAAUUACUGGGCGUAAAGCGCACGCAGGCGGUCUGUCAAGUCGGAUGUGAAAUCCCCGGGCUCAACCUGGGAACUGCAUUCGAAACUGGCAGGCUAGAGUCUUGUAGAGGGGGGUAGAAUUCCAGGUGUAGCGGUGAAAUGCGUAGAGAUCUGGAGGAAUACCGGUGGCGAAGGCGGCCCCCUGGACAAAGACUGACGCUCAGGUGCGAAAGCGUGGGGAGCAAACAGGAUUAGAUACCCUGGUAGUCCACGCCGUAAACGAUGUCGAUUUGGAGGUUGUGCCCUUGAGGCGUGGCUUCCGGAGCUAACGCGUUAAAUCGACCGCCUGGGGAGUACGGCCGCAAGGUUAAAACUCAAAUGAAUUGACGGGGGCCCGCACAAGCGGUGGAGCAUGUGGUUUAAUUCGAUGCAACGCGAAGAACCUUACCUGGUCUUGACAUCCACAGAACUUUCCAGAGAUGGAUUGGUGCCUUCGGGAACUGUGAGACAGGUGCUGCAUGGCUGUCGUCAGCUCGUGUUGUGAAAUGUUGGGUUAAGUCCCGCAACGAGCGCAACCCUUAUCCUUUGUUGCCAGCGGUCCGGCCGGGAACUCAAAGGAGACUGCCAGUGAUAAACUGGAGGAAGGUGGGGAUGACGUCAAGUCAUCAUGGCCCUUACGACCAGGGCUACACACGUGCUACAAUGGCAUAUACAAAGAGAAGCGACCUCGCGAGAGCAAGCGGACCUCAUAAAGUAUGUCGUAGUCCGGAUUGGAGUCUGCAACUCGACUCCAUGAAGUCGGAAUCGCUAGUAAUCGUAGAUCAGAAUGCUACGGUGAAUACGUUCCCGGGCCUUGUACACACCGCCCGUCACACCAUGGGAGUGGGUUGCAAAAGAAGUAGGUAGCUUAACCUUCGGGAGGGCGCUUACCACUUUGUGAUUCAUGACUGGGGUGAAGUCGUAACAAGGUAACCGUAGGGGAACCUGCGGUUGGAUCACCUCCUUA